UGGGGAAUAUUGCACAAUGGGGGAAACCCUGAUGCAGCAACGCCGCGUGAAGGAAGACGGUUUUCGGAUUGUAAACUUCUGUUCUUAGUGAAGAAUAAUGACGGUAGCUAAGGAGCAAGCCACGGCUAACUACGUGCCAGCAGCCGCGGUAAUACGUAGGUGGCAAGCGUUGUCCGGAAUUACUGGGUGUAAAGGGAGCGCAGGCGGGAGACCAAGUCAGCUGUGAAAACUACGGGCUUAACCUGUAGACUGCAGUUGAAAACUGGUUUUUCCUUGAGUGAAGUAGAGGUUGGCGGAAUUCCGAGUGUAGCGGUGAAAUGCGUAGAUAUUCGGAGGAACACCGGUGGCGAAGGCGGCCAACUGGGCUUUAACUGACGCUGAGGCUCGAAAGUGUGGGGAGCAAACAGGAUUAGAUACCC
rnacentral:rRNA from 1 species